rnacentral:rRNA from 1 species
AGUGAACGCUGGCGGUAGGCCUAACACAUGCAAGUCGAACGGCAGCACAGUAAGAGCUUGCUCUUACGGGUGGCGAGUGGCGGACGGGUGAGGAAUACAUCGGAAUCUACUUUUUCGUGGGGGAUAACGUAGGGAAACUUACGCUAAUACCGCAUACGACCUACGGGUGAAAGCAGGGGAUCUUCGGACCUUGCGCGAUUGAAUGAGCCGAUGUCGGAUUAGCUAGUUGGCGGGGUAAAGGCCCACCAAGGCGACGAUCCGUAGCUGGUCUGAGAGGAUGAUCAGCCACACUGGAACUGAGACACGGUCCAGACUCCUACGGGAGGAAGCGGUGGGGAAUAUUGGACAAUGGAGGCAAGCCUGAUCCAGCCAUACCGCGUGGGUGAAGAAGGCCUUCGGGUUGUAAAGCCCUUUUGUUGGGAAAGAAAAGCAGCAGGUUAAUACCCCGCUGUUCUGACGGUACCCAAAGAAUAAGCACCGGCUAACUUCGUG